AGCCAUGCGAGUCGAGAGGGUUCGGCCCUCGGCAUACUGCUCAGUAACACGUGGAUAAUCUACCCUCAGGUGGCGGGAUAAUCUCGGGAAACUGAGGAUAAUACCCCAUAGAUCAAGGACGCUGGAAUGCCCCUUGGUUGAAAGAUUUAUCGCCUGAGGAUGAGUUUGCGGCCUAUCAGGUAGUAGUGAGUGUAACGGACUCACUAGCCUACGACGGGUACGGGCCUUGAGAGAGGUUGCCCGGAGAUGGACUCUGAGACACGAGUCCAGGCCCUACGGGGCGCAGCAGGCGCGAAAACUUCGCAAUGCGGGAAACCGCGACGAGGGAAUCCUGAGUGCCUAUACAUUUGUAUAGGCUGUUUAUGUGCCUAAAAAGCACGUAGAGUAAGAGCUGGGUAAGACCGGUGCCAGCCGCCGCGGUAAUGCCGGCAGCUCGAGUGGUGGUCGUUUUUACUGGGCCUAAAGCGUCCGUAGCCGGUUGAGUAAAUCCCUGGGUAAAUCGUGUCGCUUAACGAUACGACUUCCGGGGAUACUGCUCGACUUGGGACCGGGAGAGGUUGGAGGUACUCCGGGGGUAGGGGUGAAAUCCUGUAAUCCCCGGGGGACCACCUGUGGCGAAGGCGUCCAACUAGAACGGCUCCGACGGUAAGGGACGAAGCCCUGGGGCGCAAACCGGAUUAGAUACCCGGGGUAGUCCAGGGUGUAAACGCUG
rnacentral:rRNA from 1 species